AGAGUUUGAUCCUGGCUCAGAACGAACGCUGGCGGCGUGGAUAAGACAUGCAAGUCGAGCGAGAUUUUUUUCUGUAGCAAUACGGGGGAAAGUCUAGCGGCGAACGGGUGCUUAACACGUGGGCAACCUGCCGAGAAGUGGGGGAUAGCUCGCCGAAAGGCGAAUUAAUACCGCAUGUGAUUAGAGAGGACAUCCUUUCGAAAUUAAAGUCGGGGCAACCUGACGCUUUUUGUGGGGCCCGCGGCCUAUCAGCUAGUUGGUGAGGUAACGGCUCACCAAGGCUUUGACGGGUAGCUGGUCUGAGAGGACGACCAGCCACACUGGGACUGAGACACGGCCCAGACACCUACGGGUGGCAGCAGUCGAGAAUUUUUCUCAAUGGGGGAAACCCUGAAGGAGCGACGCCGCGUGGAGGAUGAAGGUCUUCGGAUUGUAAACUCCUGUCAUUGGGGAACAAGGUGCAUACGUUAACUGCGUGUGCAUUGAUAGUACCCGAAGAGGAAGAGACGGCUAACUCUGUGCCAGCAGCCGCGGUAAUACAGAGGUCUCAAGCGUUGUUCGGAUUCAUUGGGCGUAAAGGGUGCGUAGGCGGCGCGGUAAGUCGGGUGUGAAAUCUUGGAGCUUAACUCCGAAACUGCAUUCGAUACUGCCGUGCUUGAGGACUGGAGAGGAGACUGGAAUUUACGGUGUAGCGGUGAAAUGCGUAGAUAUCGUAAGGAAGACCAGUGGCGAAGGCGGGUCUCUGGACAGUUCCUGACGCUGAGGCACGAAGGCCAGGGGAGCAAACGGGAUUAGAUACCCUAGUAGUCC
rnacentral:rRNA from 1 species